rnacentral:piRNA from 1 species
GUGGGUUCUUAGGUGGUUGAAGAGGGCAA